rnacentral:rRNA from 1 species
UGGGGAAUUUUGGACAAUGGGCGAAAGCCUGAUCCAGCAAUGCCGCGUGUGUGAAGAAGGCCUUCGGUUGUAAAGCACUUUUGUCCGGAAAGAAAUCCUUGGCUCUAAUACAGUCGGGGGAUGACGGUACCGGAAGAAUAAGCACCGGCUAACUACGUGCCAGCAGCCGCGGUAAUACGUAGGGUGCAAGCGUUAAUCGGAAUUACUGGGCGUAAAGCGUGCGCAGGCGGUUUGCUAAGAACCGAUGUGAAAUCCCCGGGCUCAACCUGGGAACUGCAUUGGUGACUGGCAGGCUAGAGUAUGGCAGAGGGGGGUAGAAUUCCACGUGUAGCAGUGAAAUGCGUAGAGAUGUGGAGGAAUACCGAUGGCGAAGGCAGCCCCUGGCAGUACUGACGCUCAUGCACGAAAAGCGUGGGGGAG